rnacentral:rRNA from 1 species
UACGUAGGGCGCAAGCGUUAUCCGGAAUUAUUGGGCGUAAAGGGCGCGUAGGCGGCCAUGCGUGUCUCCCGUGAAAUCCCUCGGCUCAACCGAGGACGUGCGGAAGAAACUGCAAGGCUCGAGUCCGGAAGAGGGGGGCGGAAUUCCCAGUGUAGCGGUGAAAUGCGUAGAUAUUGGGAGGAACACCAGUGGCGAAGGCGGUCCCCUGGGCCGGAACUGACGCUGAGGCGCGAAAGCGUGGGUAGCAAACGGG